rnacentral:misc_RNA from 1 species
GAAAUGCGAUAAGUAAUGUGAAUUGCAGAAUUCAGUGAAUCAUCGAAUCUUUGAACGCACCUUGCGCUCCUUGGUAUUCCUUGGAGCAUGCCUGUUUGAGUAUCAUGAAAUCUUCAAAGUAAAUCUUUUGUUAACUCAAUUGGUUUCUACUUUGGUAUUGGAGGUCUUUGCAGCUUCACACCUGCUCCUCUUUGUUCAUUAGCUGGAUCUCAGUGUUAUGCUUGGUUCCACUCGGCGUGAUAAGUUAUCUAUCGCUGAGGACACUGUAAAAGGUGGCCAAGGUAAAUGCAGAUGAACCGCUUCUAAUAGUCCAUUGACUUGGACAAUACUUUUAUGAUCUGAUCUCAAAUCAGAUAGGACUACCCGCUGAACUGAAGC